rnacentral:misc_RNA from 1 species
UUUCCGUAGGUGAACCUGCGGAAGGAUCAUUACAGAGUUCAUGCCCUCACGGGUAGAUCUCCCACCCUUGAAUAUUUAUACCUUAGUUGCUUUGGCAGGCCGUGGAAACACCUUGGGCUCCGGCUUAUGCGUGCCUGCCAGAGGAAACAAACUCUGUUUUUAGUGAUGUCUGAGUACUAUAUAAUAGUUAAAACUUUCAACAACGGAUCUCUUGGUUCUG